AUGCCCUCCAGGGUAAGUCCCUGUGAAAGGGGUCCUGUCGCUUUAAAAGGGCUCCCCAGCAAUGGGGAUUCUGGGCCAUUUUUCCCUUCUAUGGCCAGUUUUGGAGGGCGUGUUCCUGUUAGCAAACCUUGGCCCCCCGUAAAUACCCUGCAGCCGCCGCCGGUAAUGACAGGCCGGCGGGGAGCCCGCGGAGCGCGCCGGGGCUCCUGCAGGCGGCGCCGCCGCGGCCCCGGGGCCACGGCCACAGCCAGGCCCGAGCCGGGCCCCGCCGGGAUCGACCUCCGCAGGGCUCGCGCAGGCCCGCGCGCCCGUGAACUUGGCCGGGGGCGCCUUCCCGAACGCGCGCGCCGGGCCGGAGCCUCUCCCAGCCCUGGAUGCCCGAGCCCCCACCCGCUCGGGCCCCCAAGAACAAAGCUCGCCGCCGCCGGGCCUUGGGGCCUCCCGGUGGUCAGGUGUCGGGCGGCCUGUGCUCCGCUGCCCCUGCGCCCCCCAUCGUGCGUCCCCGCCCCGCGGGGGCACCGCGGCCCGCCGUCCCCCACCCCCACCCCCCCGAGGCGCAGGCUCGGGGACUUGAGGGCCUGUCCUGUCUGGGGGGGUCUGGCCUUCCCGGCGCCCCUUCUCCGGGAGGACGAGACGCAGAGAUGCCGCUGGGCCCUCCCCGCCCCCCUUCUCCAGCCUCCGCAACAAUGGAGGGCCGGGCCGCAGAGGCCGGGGCGCCGACCCCCGGCCGCGAGCAGGUGCGCGAGGGGGCCGCAGCCGGGUCCCGCCGCCGCCCCGCCCCGCCGCGCCCCCUCCCCGCGGGCGGCGCCCCCGCCUGCCCGGCGCCCGCGCUCACCUCGUUUCGGGCCGCCGCCGCGUUGCCCCUCUUCUUUCCAAACCAGCCCGGAAAAGCCCCCUGAGUCGAGGCGCCUGCACGGGAAAUUGCAUUUCGGCGGCUUCGGGGCUGGGCGGGGGCCCCCCAGGCCGCGGGCCGGGGGAGGGGGCCGCGGGGCUCCGGCGCCGGCUCGAACCCGCGGCCGCCGCCUCCCGCCCGCCCGCCCGCCUGUCUGUCUCGGUGACGUGCCCGCGCUCCCCGCCGCCGCCGCCCCCUCCCUCCUCCCCGCGCCGUGCCGGGCGGUGGGUCCGGCGGCGCCCGCGUGUGCCCCGGGGCCUCCCGCCAGGCGCCCCGGGACGCACGCGGGGAUGCCCACGGGGCGUGAGGACGCAGCUCCCGGGGCCCGCGCGGGGGACACGGGGGCGCGAGCGGGCACACGCAGGGACCCAGACGCACGUAGACCUCAAAGGCGCACGGGGAGCACAGGCGCACAAAGGCACGCGGACCACAAACACAGGGAAGGGUGUGCAAAGGGUUUCCAGGCACAUACCCACGGGAGGGGAUGUCGGGACACGUUGGGACACUGGGGUACCGGCCACGCGAGGGUGUCCAUAAAACCGAGCUACACACAUACACCCAGGGAGCACACAGACGCAUGCAGAAUACAGACACAUCACUUCCACAGGACAGGAGGAUCGGGAUCGUCCUCAGAACUGAAAUAUGCCUAG
rnacentral:lncRNA from 1 species